rnacentral:piRNA from 1 species
UGGGCUUGGUGGAUUAUGGUGAUAACAAC